rnacentral:rRNA from 1 species
UACGGGGGGAGCAAGCGUUGUUCGGAAUUACUGGGCGUAAAGCGCGCGUAGGCGGACCUGCAAGUCGGGGGUGAAAGCCCGAGGCUCAACCUCGGAACUGCCUUCGAUACUGCGGGUCUCGAGUCCGGGAGAGGUGAGUGGAAUUCCUAGUGUAGAGGUGAAAUUCGUAGAUAUUAGGAAGAACACCAGUGGCGAAGGCGGCUCACUGGCCCGGUACUGACGCUGAGGCGCGAAAGCGUGGGGAGCGAACAGG